GAAAGCUUCUUAGCAAAACCCACAAAAUGGCUAUUCAGUCCUCGGUCGACCGGCCCGAACGUAAGUACCGGAAGAGUCCUAAAGUCCCCCUGCUCCCGCAAAAGCAUGAAGACUUCGAGUCUCACGAGGCGGGCAUAGAGGGUGCGUCGUUUUGGGGCGCUGUGUUUAAUUUAUCCACCACGGCUGUGGGAGCCGGAAUCAUGGCUUUACCUGCAACUGUUAACCAAUUGGGUUUAAUUCCGGGUCUAAUUAUGAUCCUAUUCGUUGCUUGGCUAACGGAAUCGUCGAUAGACAUGAUCCUAAGAUUCACCCGAGCUUGCAAGUCGGCCACGUAUUCGGGUCUCGUGGCGGACGCUUUCGGUGGGGCCGGUCGGACGUUAUUGCAGGUCUGCAUUGUUGUGAACAAUUUGGGAAUGCUCGUUGUUUACAUGAUUAUUAUAGGUGAUGUGUUAUCGGGUACUUGGUUGAACGGCAUACAUCAUUCGGGUCUGACUGAAGAAUGGUUCGGUCAACAUUGGUGGACCACACGCGUUACAUUGCUUCUCAUCACCACCCUCUUUGUCUUUGCUCCUCUUAUUUCAUUCAAGCGCGUGGAUUCAUUGAGAUACACUUCAGCAUUAUCGGUGGGUUUGGCCGUUGUAUUUGUGGCAAUAACAGCGGGAGUGGUGAUUGUUAAAUUAAUAUAUGGAGGCAUUGGAGUACCGCGGUUGUUGCCUGAAAUUAACGACCAGGCUUCAUUUUGGAAGCUUUUCACCACUUUCCCAGUUUUAGUAACUGCCUUUAUCUGUCACCAUAAUAUUCAUCCAAUAGAGAAUGAACUGAAGGACACGACUCAGAUGAAGUCCAUUGUUCGGACAUCGCUCUCAUUAUGCUCAAUUGUCUAUGUUGCAACCAGUGUCUUUGGACUUCUCCUCUUCGGGGAUCAUAUUUUGGAUGAUGUGCUUGCUAAUUUUGAUGGUGACCUUGGAAUUCCCUAUAGUUCAUUGCUUGAUGAUGUGGUUAGGGUGAGCUAUGGAAUCCACUUGAUGCUUGUUUUCCCCAUUGUGUUUUUCUCCCUCCGCCUGAAUUUGGAUGGACUUCUUUUUCCCUAUGCCAUUCCUAUUGCGUUUGACAACCGUAGAUUCUUCUUAGUAACUGCAGCUCUGAUGGGAUUUAUCUUUGUGGGAGCCAAUUCUGUACCUAGUAUCUGGGAUGCCUUCCAGUUCACUGGUGCCACAGCUGCUGUCUCUGUUGGUUUUAUCUUUCCAGCUGCCGUUGCCCUUAGAGAUACUCAUGGAAUUGCAACAAAGAAUGACAGAGUGGCAUCAUGGCUGAUGAUCUUUUUGGCAGUCUCAUCAAGCACCGUGGCAGUCUCCAGUGACAUCUACAGUAUUUUUAGUGUUGAUAAAGGCAUUGGAGGCUGACCUUAAAAAGGGGCAACUUUCUGGUUGCUCUGAUGCUGUUUUUGGUCGCCCCAUAGAUAAUGUUAACUGGGCCUACUGCGAUGAGGCAGUCGGGGACUACUGGGCUUUGGUCAACAAAGGAGCAUUUCGCUGCAGUAAAAGCAACGCUCCAGUUCCUUAUAUGAUAUUUGGCAGUGUGCGAAUUCGCGAUUUCAUUAGUUUGGAAAGGUUGAUUGUCCUCCUGAGAGCUGGAUUUCACACACUUUAUGACACAUUGUUAAUCAUCUUCUUGAAGCGAGUAUCGCGAUAACUGACAUACACAUACACACCAAUUCAAGAAAAGUGAGA